GCCGCGGUGGCGGAACUAGGCAGACGCGAUGGAUUCAAAAUCCAUUGUUCGCAAGGACGUGUGGGUUCGAUUCCCACCCGCGGCA
rnacentral:tRNA from 1 species